CCCGCGCGCCGCCAUGGACGCCGCGCCCGCCCUCCUCGGGGCCCCGCAGGCCGAGGUGCUGGAGGACGUGCUGCGGGAGCAGUUCGGGCCGCUGCCCCAGCUGGCCGCCAUCUGCCGGCUCAAGCGGCUGCCCUCGGGCGGCUACUCGUCGACCGAGGACCUCCAGCUGGUGCUGGAGCGGCGGCGCGUGGCCAACGCCAAGGAGCGGGAGCGGAUAAAAAAUCUCAACCGUGGUUUUGCCAAACUGAAGGCACUGGUGCCGUUUCUUCCCCAAAGCAGGAAGCCUAGCAAGGUUGAUAUCCUUAAAGGUGCAGUUGAAUACAUCCAAGUUCUCAGUGAUGUUUUGGAAGGAGCCAAAGACUCGGAGAAACAACACCCAGAUCAUCAGAACUAUAGCAGCAAUACUUCUGAACCACAGAUAUCCUUGGCUGGAGAGCUAUCGAGAAACAUCACCCAACACGCCAGCUGUGUUGUGGGCUUGAAGAACGAGGAGGAAGGGCCCUGGGCAGAUGGUGGCAGUGGUGAGUCGGCAUGCGCUUGUCGCUAGAGUGUGAUGUCUACGACUGGAGUUACCUCCCCAACCAGGAGUUGGGAUAAAUUCCCAGAAGUAGAACUCAUGAAACACAAGCUUCCUCAAGUAUGAAAAGUGAAAAGGCGGGUCCAGGGCUACCUUCUUGAGACAAAUAAAUGCAGUCUUGAAAGUU